AAAAUCCGUCGACUUUCUAAGUUGUGAG
rnacentral:tRNA from 2 species